CCCUUAGAUGUUCUGGGCCGCACGCGCGCUACACUGACGAAGUCAGCGAGCAUGUCCUACGCCGACAGGUGCGGGGAAUCUUGUCAAACUUCGUCGUAAUGGGGAUUGAUUAUUGAAAUUCUUGAUCAUCAACGAGGAAUUCCUAGUAAGCGCAAGUCAGCAGCUUGCGUUGAUUACGUCCCUGCCCUUUGUACACACCGCCCGUCGCUACUACCGAUUGAAUGGUUUAGUGAGAUCUUCGGAUUGGCGCCACUGCGGCUCAGCAAUGGGCUCGGUGGAUGCCGAAAAGUUGAUCAAACUUGAUCAUUUAGAGGAAGUAAAAGUCGUAACA
rnacentral:rRNA from 1 species